rnacentral:sRNA from 1 species
UAAGAACAACUGCAACUAACCAUAUCCU